rnacentral:lncRNA from 1 species
AGGCAGGUCACCAUGCGAGCGACCACAAUACUGAUAGGGUUGGCUAGAUCGGGCAGGUUGAGCUGUAGGUGGGGGCAAGGCAGGAGAAAGGACAACUUUUAUUCGUUUAUCUGGAUGUCUACUUACUGGGUCAGGUAAUCUCCUCUUAAUUUGCAGAGGUUGUUGUUGGGUACGGACUCGGGCAAUAUGUUGAUGCUUGGUCGAGAUGAGAUCUUCGACUAAU